AGUCGACGAUGAAUCUUCUAGCUUGCUAGAAGUGGAUUAGUGGCGCACGGGUGAGUAAUGCAUAGGUUAUGUGCCCUUUAGUCUGGGAUAGCCACUGGAAACGGUGAUUAAUACUGGAUACUCCCUACGGGGGAAAGUUUUUCGCUAAAGGAUCAGCCUAUGUCCUAUCAGCUUGUUGGUGAGGUAAUGGCUCACCAAGGCUAUGACGGGUAUCCGGCCUGAGAGGGUGAUCGGACACACUGGAACUGAGACACGGUCCAGACUCCUACGGGGGGCAGCAGUAGGGAAUAUUGCUCAAUGGGGGAAACCCUGAAGCAGCAACGCCGCGUGGAGGAUGAAGGUUUUAGGAUUGUAAACUCCUUUUGUUAGAGAAGAUUAUGACGGUAUCUAACGAAUAAGCACCGGCUAACUCCGUGCCAGCAGCCGCGGUAAUACGGAGGGUGCAAGCGUUACUCGGAAUCACUGGGCGUAAAGAGUGCGUAGGCGGGGUAAUAAGUCAGAUGUGAAAUCCUGUAGCUUAACUACAGAACUGCACUUGAAACUGUUACUCUGGAGUGUGGGAGAGGUAGGUGGAAUUCUUGGUGUAGGGGUAAAAUCCGUAGAGAUCAAGAGGAAUACUCAUUGCGAAGGCGACCUGCUGGAACAUUACUGACGCUGAUGCACGAAAGCGUGGGGAGCAAACAGGAUUAGAUACCCUGGUAGUCCACGCCCUAAACGAUGGAUGCUAGUUGUUGCCUUGCUUGUCAGGGCAGUAAUGCAGCUAACGCAUUAAGCAUCCCGCCUGGGGAGUACGGUCGCAAGAUUAAAACUCAAAGGAAUAGACGGGGACCCGCACAAGCGGUGGAGCAUGUGGUUUAAUUCGAAGAUACGCGAAGAACCUUACCUAGGCUUGACAUUGAU
rnacentral:rRNA from 1 species